GAUGAACGCUGACAGCAUGCUUAACACAUGCAAGUCAACUGUUGCGGACUGGUGAGUAACGCGUAAAGAACUUGCCUCACUGAUAGGGACAACAUUUGGAAACGAAUGCUAAUACCUGAUACUGUGAGAGAGCUUUGCGUCCCAUUAGCUAUUUGGAGAGGUAACGACGCCCCAAUGCGAUGAUGGGUAGCCGGCCUGAGAGCGUGACCGGCCCCACGGGGACUGAGACACGGCCCUUACGCAUGCGGGAGGCAGCAGUGGUGGAUAUUGGACAAUAGACCAAAGUCUGAUGCAGCAAUUCUGUGUGCACGAUGAAGUUUUCGGAAUGUAAAGUGCUUUCAGUUAGGAAGCGGUACCAACACAGGAAGUGACGGCUAAAUACGUGCCAGCAGCCGCGGUAAUUC
rnacentral:rRNA from 1 species